AAUUAUUUCUGGAAUUAGACCAGCAUGAGGUCUCCUCUGCCAAUCUAAGGAAAAAUGGAGUUUAGAACUGACUCUCGACAGUAGAUGCACAUUUGGCAGGAGGCCAAGGAGAAUCAGAAUAAACAACCAUAAGAAAAUGCCAAAUACAAGAAAAUAACAGCAACUUAAUAUGAUUUAAUACCAAUAAAGUGGUUAAGAUGAAAUGCCCUCACCAUAUUCCCCAAAAGCAUUUAAGAUGGAUUACUGAGAAAUACAUCUGCAGUUUUGAAUGCUUUGGAAAUGAAAGAUGAUAACAACA